UACGAAGGGGGGCUAGCGUUGCUCGGAAUUACUGGGCGUAAAGGGCGCGUAGGCGGACAGUUUAGUCAGAGGUGAAAGCCCAGGGCUCAACCUUGGAAUUGCCUUUGAUACUGGCUGUCUUGAGUUCGGGGAGAGGUGAGUGGAAUGCCGAGUGUAGAGGUGAAAUUCGUAGAUAUUCGGCGGAACACCAGUGGCGAAGGCGACUCACUGGCCCGAUACUGACGCUGAGGCGCGAAAGCGUGGGGAGCAAACAGG
rnacentral:rRNA from 1 species